UAUAAUUAUUUCAACAUUCCUUGAGUGAUCAUUCAAAAUUCAAAGUAAAUAAUGUUGAAGAAUAAAUUCGGGACGAAAUUACUACUAUGAGACCUUUCACUCGUUUAUAUGGCUGCUUAAUUAGGAACGCAGACAAACUAGUUCCGGCAAUUAUGCGGCCACUGUGGCUCUCGCCUGCGGGUCCACGUACUGUAUUUUUUGGGGCCCUGCUGUGAAGUGGUGCGUUGUCCUGGCCGGAUUAAGCGACGUCUUCAAUCGUCCCCCGCAUCUUAUAUCCAAGAGACAAUCUGCAGUCUUGGCGUUCAGCGGGAUUUUGUGGUCACGCUGGUCUAUGAUCAUUCGGCCAAAGAACCACAGCUACAUGCUCUGCAACGCUGUUCUGUCCGUGUCCCAGUGCAUCCUCCUUUGGAGGAGUAUGAACCGCAGUCUCUACUCGGAGUGGUCAAACUGGCGGGAAACUCAAGAAGGAGAGACAACAAAUAAUUAAUGAAAUCCAAGUGCAAGCAGCUGUUCAAUUGAUUCAGGAAAAUAUACUGACCACCACGGUGAGAGUG